GAGUAACAAUUAGAGGGCAAGUCUGGUGCCAGCAGCCGCGGUAAUUCCAGCUCUAAUAGCGUAUAUUAAUACUGUUGCAGUUAAAACGCUCGUAGUUGAACUUAGAAUUAUUACAAGUUAUUUUACUUGAUUGUAAAGUGCUUGCUUAAUUCUUAUCUACUAGAUACUCUAUUCUGUACUUAAUUGUAUGGAAUAUCACCUAGCCAGUGGAACUUUGGUGAAAUAAUGCCUUUUUUAAUACCAGAGUGUAAAAACUUGAAGUGUUAAUUUGGGAUCACAUUAUUUUAUUGAAGUGGGGUUCUAGUUAAUUUACUUUGAGUAAAUUAGAGUGUUCAAAGCAGCCUCUUGGGGCUUUGAAUAGAUUUUAGCAUGGGAUAAUAGAAUAGGAUUUGAUAAUCUAUUUUGUUGGUUUGAAUUAAUCAAAUAAUGAUUAAUAGGGGACAGUUGGGGGC
rnacentral:rRNA from 1 species